rnacentral:rRNA from 1 species
AUUGAACGCUGGCGGCAUGCCUUACACAUGCAAGUCGAAUGGUAACAGGUCUUCGGAUGCUGACGAGUGGCGAACGGGUGAGUAAUACAUCGGAACGUGCCCGAUCGUGGGGGAUAACGAAGCGAAAGCUUUGCUAAUACCGCAUACGAUCUACGGAUGAAAGCAGGGGACCGCAAGGCCUUGCGCGAACGGAGCGGCCGAUGGCAGAUUAGGUAGUUGGUGGGAUAAAAGCUUACCAAGCCGACGAUCUGUAGCUGGUCUGAGAGGACGACCAGCCACACUGGGACUGAGACACGGCCCAGACUCCUACGGGAGGCAGCAGUGGGGAAUUUUGGACAAUGGGCGAAAGCCUGAUCCAGCCAUGCCGCGUGCAGGAUGAAGGCCUUCGGGUUGUAAACUGCUUUUGUACGGAACGAAAAGACUCUGGUUAAUACCUGGGGUCCAUGACGGUACCGUAAGAAUAAGCACCGGCUAACUACGUG